AAACCUUCAAGCUUUGCUUGGUGUUGGGUGUUUGUUCCGCCUUAGUGUGUGGACUCGCCUUAAAUUCAUUGGCAGCCGGUAUGUUGGUUUCGUGCGCAGCACAUUGCGUCACGCCUAGCAGACCUCCUCCCAUUAAGCCUCUUUUUUA
rnacentral:misc_RNA from 1 species